GAGGGGUUUUUUUUAGUUUGUCCGUAACUUUCAGACUUACUGAUACAUAUUUUUCAACUUGACUGCUUGGUUAUGUUUCCAGUCCUAGCCUCUUACCCUGGUUGUUUUUCUAGGUACUUUUGUAAGAAAAGCCUUAGUGGAACACAAGGAAACAGAAGGUCAGCCUUUAAUGAUGGACAGUGAAGUGAUUUCUCCUGUAAGGGUUACUGCAGUAAGGGUCAUGCAAAUAAAGAAAUCCAGUCAGUUUAAAUACAUAGGGACAGUGUACAUGAUGGAGAGGCAGAAGAAGGACUGACAGAUUUUAGUGGCUUUUCAGAAUGCACAUUUGUCCUGAAAGAUCUGAGAGACAUCAUCUUGAGCUUUGAAGUGCUUUGCAUCUUUGAGAUCACGCUCCAUCUAAAAACCAAUAUAAUCUCUACCUGACAGUUGUGCUCUUCUGUGUCAGUCCAUGUCAUGCAGACUGUCCCUCUGUAUUUAAACUAUCUGUAUUUUUAAGUCUACGCAUGCAUUUUCUGUUGUGUAAAUUCUAUGCAAAAAGAGACACUUCUCUAUUUGUCAGGCUUUCGUAAUUUGUAAGACUAACAAAA